UGGAGCAGAACACAGGGAUUGCCCCAGUAACGGCGAGUGAAGCGGCAACAGCUCAAAUUUGAAAUCUGGCCCUCGGGUCCGAGUUGUAAUUUGUAGAGGAUGCUUUUGGCGAGGUGCCUUCCGAGUUCCCUGGAACGGGACGCCAUAGAGGGUGAGAGCCCCGUCUGGUCGGACACCGAGCCUCUGUAAAGCUCCUUCGACGAGUCGAGUAGUUUGGGAAUGCUGCUCAAAAUGGGAGGUAUAUGUCUUCUAAAGCUAAAUAUUGGCCAGAGACCGAUAGCGCACAAGUAGAGUGAUCGAAAGAUGAAAAGCACUUUGAAAAGAGGGUUAAAAAGUACGUGAAAUUGUUGAAAGGGAAGCGCCUAUGACCAGACUUGAGCCCGGUGAAUCAUCCAGCGUUCUCGCUGGUGCACUUUGCCGGGCCCAGGCCAGCAUCAGUUUGGCGCGGGGGAUAAAGGUGACGGGAAUGUGGCUCCCUCGGGAGUGUUAUAGCCCGCUACGUAAUACCCUGCGCCGGACUGAGGUACGCGCAUUGCAAGGAUGCUGGCGUAAUGGUCAUCAGCGACCCGUCUUGAAACACGGACCAAGGAGUCGUCUUCGUAUGCGAGUGUUCGGGUGUCAAACCCCUACGCGUAAUGAAAGUGAACGCAGGUGAGAGCUUCGGCGCAUCAUCGACCGAUCCUGAUGUUCUCGGAUGGAUUUGAGUAAGAGCAUACGGGGCCGGACCCGAAAGAAGGUGAACUAUGCCUGUAUAGGGUGAAGCCAGAGGAAACUCUGGUGGAGGCUCGCAGCGGUUCUGACGUGCGAAUCGAUCGUCAAAUAUGGGCAUGGGGGCGAAAGACUAAUCGAACCUUCUAGUAGCUGGUUUCCGCCGAAGUUUCCCUCAGGAUAGCAGUGUUGAACUCAGUUUUAUGAGGUAAAGCGAAUGAUUAGGGACUCGGGGGCGCUAUAUUGCCUUCAUCCAUUCUCAAACUUUAAAUAUGUAAGAAGCCCUUGUUACUUAAUUGAACGUGGGCAUUCGAAUGUAUCAACACUAGUGGGCCAUUUUUGGUAAGCAGAACUGGCGAUGCGGGAUGAACCGAACGCGAGGUUAAGGUGCCGGAGUGGACGCUCAUCAGACACCACAAAAGGUGUUAGUACAUCUUGACAGCAGGACGGUGGCCAUGGAAGUCGGAAUCCGCUAAGGACUGUGUAACAACUCACCUGCCGAAUGUACUAGCCCUGAAAAUGGAUGGCGCUCAAGCGUCCCACCCAUACCUCGCCCUCAGGGUAGAAACGAAGCCCUGAGGAGUAGGCGGACGUGGAGGUCAGUGACGAAGCCUAGGGCGGAGCCCGUCACGUU
rnacentral:rRNA from 1 species